GCAGAGUAGGAGAUCAGGCGUCAAGUGCCCACUGGACGGGGAGUUGCCAGAGGGACGAAGGGGAUACCCGCGGUCUGAUCUCCGCAUCCCGCUGC
rnacentral:ncRNA from 1 species